UACGGAGGGGGCAAGCGUUGUUCGGAAUUACUGGGCGUAAAGGGCGCGUAGGCGGCCUGCUAAGUCGAACGUGAAAUCCCCGGGCUCAACCCGGGAACUGCGUCCGAUACUGGUAGGCUUGAAUCCGGGAGAGGGAUGCGGAAUUCCAGGUGUAGCGGUGAAAUGCGUAGAUAUCUGGAGGAACACCGGUGGCGAAGGCGGCAUCCUGGACCGGUAUUGACGCUGAGGCGCGAAAGCCAGGGGAGCAAACGGG
rnacentral:rRNA from 1 species